rnacentral:rRNA from 1 species
UACAGAGGUCUCAAGCGUUGUUCGGAUUCAUUGGGCGUAAAGGGCGCGUAGGCUGCGGGGUAAGUCGGGUGUGAAAUCUCAGAGCUCAACUCUGAAACUGCACUCGAUACUGCUUUGCUUGAGGACUGGAGAGGAGAUUGGAAUUCACGGUGUAGCAGUGAAAUGCGUAGAUAUCGUGAGGAAGACCAGUGGCGAAAGCGGCGCGCUGGAUCUCUUCUGACGCUGAGGCGCGAAAGCCAGGGGAGCGAACGGG